rnacentral:rRNA from 1 species
GACGAACGCUGGCGGCGUGCUUAACACAUGCAAGUCGAACGGAAAGGCCCUGCUUUUGUGGGGUGCUCGAGUGGCGAACGGGUGAGUAACACGUGAGUAACCUGCCCUUGACUGUGGGAUAACUUCAGGAAACUGGGGCUAAUACCGGAUAGGAGCUCCUGCUGCAUGGUGGGGGUUGGAAAGUUUCGGCGGUUGGGGAUGGACUCGCGGCUUAUCAGCUUGUUGGUGGGGUAGUGGCUUACCAAGGCUUUGACGGGUAGCCGGCCUGAGAGGGUGACCGGCCACAUUGGGACUGAGAUACGGCCCAGACUCCUACGGGGGGCAGCAGUGGGGAAUAUUGCACAAUGGGCGGAAGCCUGAUGCAGCAACGCCGCGUGCGGGAUGACGGCCUUCGGGUUGUAAACCGCUUUCGCCUGUGACGAAGCGUGAGUGACGGUAAUGGGUAAAGAAGCACCGGCUAACUACGUG